UACGUAGGUGGCAAGCGUUGUCCGGAAUUAUUGGGCGUAAAGCGCGCGUAGGCGGUUCUUUAAGUCUGAUGUGAAAGCCCACGGCUCAACCGUGGAGGGUCAUUGGAAACUGGAGAACUUGAGUACAGAAGAGGAAAGCGGAAUUCCACGUGUAGCGGUGAAAUGCGUAGAGAUGUGGAGGAACACCAGUGGCGAAGGCGGCUUUCUGGUCUGUAACUGACGCUGAGGCGCGAAAGCGUGGGGAGCAAACAGG
rnacentral:rRNA from 1 species